rnacentral:rRNA from 1 species
ACGGAAGGCAGCAGUGGGGAAUAUUGGGCAAUGGGCGCAAGCCUGACCCAGCAACGCCGCGUGAAUGAUGAAGGUCUUCGGAUUGUAAAGUUCUGUGAUGGGGGACGAAGAAAGUGACGGUACCCCAAUAGCAAGCUACGGCUAACUACGUGCCAGCAGCCGCGGUAAUACGUAGGUAGCAAGCGUUGUCCGGAAUAACUGGGCGUAAAGGGUGCGUAGGUGGUUUAACAAGUUGGUAGUGAAAUUCCGAGGCUUAACUUCGGCGCUACUACCAAGACUGUUGAACUUGAGUACAGGAGAGGUAAGUGGAAUUCCUAGUGUAGUGGUGGAAUGCGUAGAUAUUAGGAGGAACACCAGUGGCGAAAGCGGCUUGCUGGACGACAACUGACGCUGAGGCGCGAAAGCGUGGGGAGCAAACAGGAUUAGAUACCCUGGUA